UGAAAGUGAGACAAUCAAGGCUUAAGCUGGAAGAGCAGUAGGUUUCUGAAGACAUCUUGAGAAAACAUGAAAUAUGAGCUCGAGGAAAUUUCCAAGGACAAUGCAGGAGUAGAGAAGGUAUAUACUUCUCGGAUCCUUGCAAUGUGCUCCUGACUAUCGUUAAGGCUGAGUUUAAGUGUAACACUUCCCAUGUGCAUUCUCGCAAGGUUGACCAAGGUGCUACAUGACAUUUAUCUUUGUUAUUUGCCUCCUCUUAAUUCUGACCCAUAAAUAGCAUGAAUAAAUCUGUAUUAAUAAAGCUGCUAAACGUCCUCUAGUCUGAAGAUGGCUACAAUAAAUAUAGGUUGGACCCAUGUGGACAGCUUCAGAAAAAUCUUUCAGCAAGGAUUCAUUGAUUUGACUGAAAUAACAGCUACUGAAGAUGAGAUGGUGAUGCUUAAGAUAAUGCUGGGUAGGAUAUCUGCAAUGUCAGUGGUGGAAAAUAGGUAGUGCACCAGUGGCUGUUCAAGCGCACAACGUAUU